rnacentral:lncRNA from 1 species
AUUACUUCAGUUAUAUCGUUAGGCUUUGUGUCUCCACCCAAAUCUCAUCUUGAAUUGUUGAGGGAGAUACCUGGUGGGAGAUGAUUGGCAAUUUCCCCCAUGAUGUUCUCACAAUUGUUAGUGAGUUCUCAUGAGAUCUGAUGGUUUUAUAAGGGGCUCUUUCCCCUUGGUUUCCUUCAUUGGCUCUCUCGCCUGCUGCCGUAGACGUGCCUGCUACACCUUCUGCCAUAAUUGUGCUCAAGCUUAUAAUACCAGCACUUUGGGAGACUGAGGCGGGCAGAUUGCCUGAGCUCAGGAUUUCGAGACCAGCCUGGCCAACAUGGUGAAACCCCAUCUCUACUAAAAAAAUACAAAAAAAUUAGGCGGGCGUGGUGGCAUGUGUCUGUAGUCCCAGCUACUUGGGAGGCUGAGGUGGAGAAUCGCUUGAACCGGGAGGUGGAGGUUGCAGUGAGCCGAGAUCACACCACUGCAUUCCAGGCUGGUGAGAGAGCAAGACUCCAUCUCAAAAAAAAAAAAAAAAAAAAAAAAGAAUUUAUGUCCUUUGCAGCAACAUGGAUGCAGCUAGAGGCCACUAUUCUAAGCAAAUUAACACAUGAACAGAAAACCAAAUACCUCAUAUUCUGACUUACACAUGGGAGCUAAACAUAGGGUACUUAUGGACAUAAAGAUAGCAACAAUAGCCACUGGGAACUACUAGAGUGGAGAGGGAAGGAAGAGAGUAAGGGUUGAAAAACUACCUAUUGGAUACUGAGAGGUGAAGCCAGCUGGACUUCCUGGGUCGAGUGGGGACCUGGAGAACUUUUCUGUCUAGCUAAAGGAUUGUAAAUGCACCAAUCAGCACUCUGUAAAAACGCACCAAUCAGCGCUCUGUGUCUAGCUAAAGGAUUGUAAACACACCAAUCACCACUCUGUAAUACUCGCAGCAAAGGUCCACGAAGGUCUGUGGCUUCACUCCUGAAGUCAGCAAGACCACAAACCCAUCGGAAGAAAGAAACUCCAGACACAUCUGAACAUCAGAAGGAACAAACUCUGGACACACCAUCUUUAAGAGCUGUAACACUCACCAUGAGGGCCCGUGGCUUCACUCUUGAAGUCAGCAAGACGAAGAACCCACCAGAAGGAGUAAAUUCCGGACACAAUACUAUGCUCAGUACCUGGGUGAUAGGAUCAAUCAUUUCAAACUUCAGCAUCAUGCUGUAUACCCAUGUAACAAGCCUGCAUAAGUACCUCCUGAAUCUAAAAUAAAAGUUGAAAUUAUUAAAAAAAGAAUAGAAUAAAAUAAACAUCAAUGACAAUAACCACUUGUCUCACAUCUCACCAGUACCAUCUAUUUUUUUCAUUAUUGUUUUUUAAACCUAUGUCAGCUUAAUAGGUGAAAAAUACUUUUGAAAAAAACAUUCAUGCAUUUGAGCUAGAACAUUUUUUCCAAGUGCCUAUUAAUAAGUUAUUUAAAUAUCUAUUUCCUAUAGUCAUAGAUUCGUUUAAAGUUUCUUUGUAGUAGUGCUCUUAUAUAUUUAAUUUUACAUCUUGAUUUUAAAAACAAUAGUUUAACAUAACACCACUUUGUAUGUGAACUCAAAUAAGCUUAAUUUUCACUGCUAUGUAACUGCCUUUUUGUGGUUAUAUAACAGAUUACUGAAUUAUUUCUCUGAUACUAAGCAUUUUAUUGUCUUUUCUUACACACACACAUACACAUAUGCCAGCAAUGACAAUAAUGCUCUUGUCAUGAAACUAUGUCUACGUUUAAGUUAUUUAUCUAGAAAGAUGACUAGAAAUGAAAAUGCUGAUGCUAAAAUAUGAAUUUUUCUCUAUGCUUAACGCAACUUACCUUCCAAAAGGCUUGUAUUAUAUUAAUUCCCCCAUUUCCUCCAAAUCCUCCAUUUCCCCCAAAUCUUGAGUGCUUUGAAUAUUACCCUUUUAAAAUGAAAAUACACGUGUAUUCUUAAUGACAAGUAAAUCAACUGGUCUAAAGAAACCUACAAGAGAGACCUGCACCACUGCGUUACACUGUGUGUAACCAACCAGCAGAUUGUUUGCGGCUUUACACCCUGUCUCUGCUCAGGGCAGAGUCCACGCUUGUGCUGCUCACACUGACCACACACUACGCUGCACGGCUUCUGAGGAGAUGGUCAGUCCUAGGAUGUGAUGUGCCUUCUAUCAGUGGCUGGUUCUGGACACCUGCUUCCAGUGCCAUGCUCUAAACAAGGAAUGCAUUUUCCCAGUGGCAUGGGUAGCUUUAGGCAGUGUGCCAAGCAUAUCCUGGUACUGGCUCCCCCCAGAAUACAGCACAUACAAACUGAAGGUAAGGGACAAAAGGGCCCUUCUUCCAGAUCAUUCUAAAACCUGUUCUUGGAGUUUCCUGCCACAGCCUCCACAGUGAUCUCCACAUGUCCAGCAACAAGAAGAGAAGGAAAAAAUCAACCACAUGCUUCACCACAGAGCACCCCUGAAUGGACCCUGGAGCUGGGGCAGAAAAGUGUUCAUCAGAAGAAAACAGCCUUUCAUCAGAGACAGUGCCCUGAGAGACACGUGUUCACCCCGUUUUCUGCAACUUAGAGUAACAUUUGCUACAAAUGUGCUGAAGAGCAUCUUCAGAGGAAAGAGCAGUGUGGCUGAGCACCAUGCACAGCCUAAUUGGAAGAGUAUUUCUGGAAGAGUACACCAUAUGCUUUACAUUUGCAUCCCGUCUAUAAAUAUCCCAGGAACAACUUGAGUCCAUAAAUACUGUAUUCAGAAUGCUUUGCUGGAAACAUCUUUCACUGCUCAGUCGUCUGUUUACCAAUGUGACUGUUCCUUGCCCCACUCGUCAUGCAGAAUCAUCCCCAAGGUCGGAGUCAUGUUGGGAAGCGAGUGGGUGCCACAGAGCCAAGGGUGGCCGGGCAGCCUCUCCUCUGUGCCAUUUGCUUUGGUCUUCUUCCCCAUCCAGCUCUCAGGCCACCUCCAGGUGGAAAGUGACAGAGGAUACCUCCUUAGCAAAAGCCUGGAUAAGAACACAUGGAAUCUUUAAUGAAACCCUAAAGAGACUGCAAUAAGGGAAGAGCCCUGUGCAUUUGCAGAGCUAACCUUUAUCCAGGGUAUCCAUGUGCCAUGGACAGUGCAGGAGCUGUCUUCACUGUGAAUCUGUUCUGCUGGAAUUAUGUUUAUUCUGCCAAUGAGAAACCAGGACUUGACAAGAUUAAGAAUCUCACCUUAUGAACAAGCCAGGAUUCUAACCUGGAGUUUAUAUCAAGCCACACUCAUAACAGGUGGCGAGACUGGCAAAACCCGAAGUAUGUCUAUCCAUCUGCCAAAGGAUUAGGAAUCACCACUAUUUGCGGUUCGAAAAAGUGACUUUAUAAGCACACUCUUAUUCUCUACUUAGAGUUCCUAGGAAAGGGAUUUGGGAGAGAUGUCAGUGGCUCUAUUUUUCAGGCAAGAAAUGUGAGGCUCAGAGAGACUUACAGAUACACAGUUGGUAGAGAGUAGAUUUAGGAGUUGAAUUUUGAUUUGCCAACUUCUAUUUCAAUGUCCUUUCCACAUGCUUAGGACACAGAUGUUAUUUGGGAGGAGUAAAUAAUCAAGCCCUGACCAGCCCGUAGCAUCUGAGAACACAUCCAGGAGUCAGGUCGGCUUUCAGGCCCCAUGCUCUGUGCAUGGGGCGCUGGGUUUGGGCCGCUUUGGAGGUCAGCAGGUGUGAAAGCCAAAAGCCUGUGGCAUGGAGUUCUACCAAGAGCAGGCAGCCCCACAGAGGGAACGUGCUAGGAACCUUCUAGAUGCCUGGGGAGAGGUCCAAGUGGAAGAAAAAAAGGGGACAUAAAGAACGAUUUGUCGAGUUAACCCUGUAGUAUUUUCCACUCUCCACAACUGAAGCUCUGGGAUGGCAGGGGCAGUCUGCCUCCUUCACUCCAGCAUGCCACCUGUGGUACAGUCACUUCUGAACGCAUGAAUGAGGCAAACCCUGUGAGACCCACAUGCUGCCCGACAGCCACUGGGUGCUGCAUGUCACAGCACCGCAGAGUGUCAGGGCUAAAGUGUUUGCCAUGGCCACAGGCAGGGGCCAGAGACCAGACGGCAACGCUGCGGGGCAGCAUCACCCCAGGGGAGGCCUGAGGCCAGCACACACCGGGUCAGGAGGAGCCUCGACUACCCUUGCAAAAGUAAACAGCGGCUGGGCACGGUGGCUCAUGCCUGUAAUCCCAGCACU